GUUUCAUUAGUUCAGUGGUUAGAGCUCUAGUGGUCUUGUAAAUCAGGGCUGGGUCCGGAUUUCAAUUCUCUGAUGGAGCA
rnacentral:tRNA from 1 species